CUGAGGCAGCAACGCCGCGUGCGGGAGGACGGCCUUCGGGUUGUAAACCGCUUUUGGAGGGGAAGAGGGAGGACGGUACCCUUCGAAGAAGUCUCGGCUAACUACGUGCCAGCAGCCGCGGUAAAACGUAGGAGGCGAGCGUUAUCCGGAUUUACUGGGUGUAAAGCGCGUGCAGGCGGCGGCGCAAGUCGUGUGUGAAAGCUCCCGGCUCAAUCGGGAGAGGACGGACGAGACUGGGCAGCUAGAGGCAGGUAGAGGUGUGUGGAAUUCCGGGUGUAGUGGUGAAAUGCGUAGAGAUCCGGAGGAACACCAGUGGCGAAGGCGGCACACUGGGCCUGGCCUGACGCUCAGACGCGAAAGCAUGGGGAGCGAACGGGAUUAGAAACCCCGGUAGUCCAUGCUGUAAACGAUGCGGACUAGGUGUUGCGGGUUGAAUCCCCUGCAGUGCCGAAGCGAACGUGAUAAGUCCGCCACCUGGGGAGUACGGCCGCAAGGUUAAAACUCAAAGGAAUGGACGGA
rnacentral:rRNA from 1 species